ensembl:lncRNA
UCCUUUAAUGUGGUUGAUCAAAAUUUUACUAUUGGUAACUUAAGAAACUUUCAUUUCAGACUCAUCACUAUUUUAGUUGUGUUGUCAAGUUUGGGGAAAUCAUAACUAAGUUUCUUUCAAGUCUCAGCUUCAUUAGCUUCGCGGUAAACUCGCUUGGUGGAUUUUUACCCACUUUUGUGAAGGAGAAUCCUGGUAGAUGAGGCUGGGAACCAGACUGGACCCUGACUGUGAGGGCCCUGCACUGUCUCUUUUAGGAGCCCUCCUGUCCUUUCUAGCUCAGGUAUUUCAAGAGAGAAAACCCAGUGAGAUUCUGGAAACUGGGCAUCAGAGGCAAGAGCUUGAGAUCCACUUGAGUCCUCGCUGACUACUUCUGAGCAACUUCCUUCUCCAUUCUUGGCCACAUUUUCCCUGGUCUGUGUCACGAGGUGAGCACGUCCCGAUUUCCCUGUGUGUCUCCAGCGCUGUCGGAACAAAAACGGAACAAGACGCAGGAUGCUUCUCCGGAGACGGGGAUCUCUCUUGGGAUUCCCACUUCCUCAGGGCGGCGGCGAGCAGAACGCGGAUCCUUCCUCUCUGUGCCUCGUGUUUCCGGCCGGAGCAUUUUCGCAGCGGGCCUGAACGGCGCGCAGGCGUCCCAGGGUCUCCCCUGGGAAGUCCGGGCUCUUCUUCACGCCCUUCUUCCAGACGCUCUCCCAGAGGCCGCCACUUCCGCCCGGCCGGACCGGAGAGGGGGCCCCGGCUCGUCUCCAACGCGCGCUGGAGGCCGACGUCCGGGAUUGAGUGACUUGGAGGAACUCUGGAGUUCUUGAGGACAUUAAAAUCAGCCUGAGUGGCCCAGUCCGACUCUUGGUUUUCGCUCAGGUCAUGACCUCAUGGUGCCUAAGAUUGGGCUCUGCACUGACAGCGCGGAGCCUGCCUGGAAUUCAUAUUCCCUGACUCUGUCUCUCUCUCUCUCCUCCCCCUGCCUCCAAUAAGUAAAUGAACGUAAAAAAAGAAAAGAGUCUCUAAAAUCAGCCAAUGGGGCCUGAAAAAUGAGAAUUUAGGGCUCCUCCUGUGAUCGCUCUUGAAAUCUCUCCAUUUGCACCACCCCUUCCCCUAGCUCAGACCUCAUGCUUUCUCAGGUUUGGAUUUCCGCACCAGCUCCUCCCUGGCCUCUCGGCUUCCACUAGCCUGCCGACAGGGCCAGGCAGAGCUUUCUGAAACUCAGAUCUGAUCCAGUUCAGCGCAAACCCCUUGCGUGGUUCUCUCUUGGCUCAAGACACAAAUCCCAGCUCCUUGGUGUGACAUUUAAAGCCCUUUUCUGAAGUGUCGUGCCCAGCAAGUCCUCCAGCCCCCACCUGUUACUAUUGUGUGCCCUGGCCAAGCACGGCAUUUCAUGCCGGCUGCCAACGCCCCCUCCUCCCCUCCAAAAUCUCACUUUCUUCCCUCCAGGUGCUAGGUCUGGGUCUGUGACUGCAACUCAGGGUGACCUUUCCAGUAGAGUCUGGCAGGUUUUUUCCCAACGACUUAUUUCCUCCAGAAAGCACCCUCUGACUCCUGCCUACCGGGCCGAGUGACAGCACCGUCUCCACCCCAGCUUCUCUCUUGCUGACCUCAGGACACUAGUUUCAGAGCAGUCCUAAAGUCCUCACAAUGCUAGUGCCUAACUCACGACCCUCCUGACAUGGGUAAGUUCCGCAGACUAGUACCUGUGGGUAUCUCCCCCCAGUAUUGUCCCUGACGGAGUACAUUAUGCUCAGGGUCGUUCUCUAGGCUUGUCCAGUCCUGGCUGAAUAAUAUCCCUUGGAAAGGAUAUACUCCAUAGGAUUUAUCCACUUCUCAAACGUUGAUGGACAUUAGUUUUUAUUGUCUGCAUUUUUGCUAUUAUGAAGAAUGCUGUUCUGAAUAUUUAUGCCUAAGGUUUUGUGUGAACACGUUUUCAGUUUUUUGUUUGCUUUUAAAGAUUUUAUUUUAUUUUCUCUCUCAAAAUAAAUAAAUAAGCAGUAAAAAAAAAUUCAUUUUUAAGUAAUCUCCACACUCAGUGUGGGGCUUGCCCUCAACAACACCGAGACCAAGAGUUGAAUGCUCUGCUGACAUAGCCAGUCAGGUGCCCCCGCCCUCGCCGUGUUUUCAGUUUUGUUGAGGAUUUAUCUGCAAAUGGAAUCUCUGGCUCAUCUGAUAACUUUUACCUUUAACUUUUUUUUAAUGUUUUAUUUAUUUUUGAUACAGAGAGAGACAGAGCAUGAGAGGGGGAGGGGCAGAGAGAGAAGGAGACACAGAACCGGAAGCAGGCUCUAGGCUCUGAGCUAGCUGUCAGCACAGAGCCUGACACGGGGCUCGAACCCACGAACGUGAGAUCUGACCUGAGCCGAAGCCGGAGGCUUAACCGACUGAGCCACCCAGGCGCCCCUACCUUUAACUUUUGGAUGAAGGACGCCACUUCCGGUUGCCACCAGCAGUGUCUGAAGGUUCCAGCUUCCCCACAUACUCAUCAAGCCCGGGGCUCUUCGGGCUUACCAGUCACUUUGUCCUUAAGUCCUGCAGCACCUUCCACUUGGACUUGAACUACGCAUGACCUCUGAGAGCACCCACCUCAUCCCUCCAGCUUCUUUCCUUGUCCUUUGUAUCACACCUACCUGCCAGAUUCUGGGUGACUGCAUUAAGUGGGGACACAUUCAGAGGCUGUUGGAGACUCAGGUGCUAACAUGUGUGUGUCACU